UACGAAGGGGGCUAGCGUUGCUCGGAAUCACUGGGCGUAAAGCGCACGUAGGCGGCUUUUUAAGUCAGGGGUGAAAUCCUGGAGCUCAACUCCAGAACUGCCUUUGAUACUGGGAAGCUUGAGUCCGGGAGAGGUGAGUGGAACUCCGAGUGUAGAGGUGAAAUUCGCAGAUAUCAGGAGGAACACCAAUGGCGAAGGCAGCUCGCUGGAACGGUACUGACGCUGAGGCGCGAAAGCGUGGGGAGCAAACAGG
rnacentral:rRNA from 1 species